GAAUUCACUAGUGAUUAGAGUUUGAUCCUGGCUCAGAUUGAACGCUGGCGGCAUGCCUUACACAUGCAAGUCGAACGGUAACAGGUCUUCGGAUGCUGACGAGUGGCGAACGGGUGAGUAAUACAUCGGAACGUGCCCGAUCGUGGGGGAUAACGGAGCGAAAGCUUUGCUAAUACCGCAUACGAUCUAUGGAUGAAAGCGGGGGACCGUAAGGCCUCGCGCGAUUGGAGCGGCCGAUGUCAGAUUAGGUAGUUGGUGGGGUAAAGGCUCACCAAGCCAACGAUCUGUAGCUGGUCUGAGAGGACGACCAGCCACACUGGGACUGAGACACGGCCCAGACUCCUACGGGAGGCAGCAGUGGGGAAUAUUGGACAAUGGGCGAAAGCCUGAUCCAGCCAUGCCGCGUGUGUGAAGAAGGUCUUCGGAUUGUAAAGCACUUUAAGUUGGGAGGAAGGGUAGUAACUUAAUACGUUGCUACUUUGACGUUACCGACAGAAUAAGCACCGGCUAACUUCGUGCCAGCAGCCGCGGUAAUACGAAGGGUGCAAGCGUUAAUCGGAAUUACUGGGCGUAAAGCGCGCGUAGGUGGUUCAGUAAGUUGGAAGUGAAAUCCCCGGGCUCAACCUGGGAACUGCUUUCAAAACUGCUGAGCUAGAGUACGGUAGAGGGUGGGGGGAAUUUCCUGUGUAGCGGUGAAAUGCGUAGAUAUAGGAAGGAACACCAGUGGCGAAGGCGGCUAUCUGGACCGAUACUGACGCUGAGACGCGAAAGCGUGGGGAGCAAACAGGAUUAGAUACCCUGUAGUCCACGCCGUAAACGAUGGGCAUUAGGUGUCGCGGGUAUUGACCCCUGCGGUGCCGAAGCUAACGCAUUAAGUGCCCCGCCUGGGGAGUACGGUCGCAAGACUAAAACUCAAAGGAAUUGACGGGGGCCCGCACAAGCGGUGGAGCAUGUGGUUUAAUUCGACGCAACGCGAAGAACCUUACCUGGGUUUGACAUCCCGAUCGUACCUGCUGGAAACAGCGGGGUCAGUUCGGCUGGAUCGGAGACAGGUGCUGCAUGGCUGUCGUCAGCUCGUGUCGUGAGAUGUUGGGUUAAGUCCCGCAACGAGCGCAACCCUUGUCCUUAGUUGCCAUCAUUUAGUUGGGCACUCUAAGGAGACUGCCGGUGUUAAACCGGAGGAAGGUGGGGAUGACGUCAAGUCCUCAUGGCCCUUAUGUCCAGGGCUACACACGUGCUACAAUGGCCGGUACAAAGGGCAGCAAAGCCGCGAGGUGGAGCCAAUCCCAUAAAGCCGGUCUCAGUUCGGAUUGGAGUCUGCAACUCGACUCCAUGAAGUUGGAAUCGCUAGUAAUCGCGGAUCAGCAUGCCGCGGUGACUACGUUCCCGGGCCUUGUACACACCGCCCGUCACACCACGGGAGUUGAUUGUACCUGAAAUCGGUGGGCUAACCUUCGGGAGGCAGCCGCUUAUGGUAUGGUCGGUGACUGGGGUGAAGUCGUAACAAGGUAACCAUAGGGGAAC
rnacentral:rRNA from 1 species